rnacentral:piRNA from 1 species
AAAUGAGGGAGUGUACUGAGUAAGG